AAAACCAAAACCAUUGCCAUUUUUAUUGUUUUUGAAAAAAAAUGAAAACAAAAAAUAGAAAGACAGGGAUCACAAAGUUUGAUUUCAAAAAAUGUCCUUCAUUAAUGAUAAUCAUUAAAACAUGAUGAGGCCCUACAAUGAAUCACUACGCCUUGGGCAGAUCGUAGGAUUUUCAUGCAAAAUGACAAAACAACAGAAAAUUACUCUGUCAGAAGAGUAACUUGAACCACUUCUUCAGCCGUCCAGUUGUUGAUAGACCCCCCUGGUGCACACGGGCGAACCCAGUUGUCCA
rnacentral:lncRNA from 1 species